AGCUGUAAAUUGCCAGAAUUUUGAGGCCACAUUUAAAGAACUGAGAUUUAGAGCACCAUAAGGUGUUCAUGUUGUGGCAACCUAAAUUCAGCAUUCCCACCAAGUGGCUGCUACUGCAGUAAGAGCAUACAAUUUUGAUGUGCUGAAAUUAUAUAUGCUAACAAUACCGGUAUGGCUACGACCAGUGGUGUAGUCCUGGAAUGUUAACAAGGGGGGCUCUCCAACAGGGGCGAAACUUCUGUAUUACAGCUGGGG